rnacentral:misc_RNA from 1 species
GGAAGUAAACGUCGUAAUAAGGUUUCCGUAGGUGAACCUGCGGAAGGAUCAUUAUUGUAUAACCGAGGUGCGAGGGCUGUCGCUGACCCGAAAGGUCGUGCACGCCCGAGUGCCCUCACACACAUCCAUCUCACCCCUAUGUGCACCACCGCGUGGGUCCCCCUUUGGCUUGUUCGGAGGGGGGCUUACGUUUUCACACAAACUUUGUAUGCAGUGUAGAAUGUAUUUUUUGUUUUUGCGAUCACGCAAUCAAUACAACUUUCAACAACGGAUCUCUUGGCUCUC